rnacentral:rRNA from 1 species
AGUGAACGCUGGCGGUAGGCCUAACACAUGCAAGUCGAACGGAAGCACAGUAAGCGCUUGCUCUUAAGGGUGGCGGGUGGCGGACGGGUGAGGCAUACAUCGGAAUCUUCUUUUUCGUGGGGGAUAUCGUAGGGACACUUACGCUAAUACCGAAUACGAUCUACCGCUGAAAUCAGGGGAUCUUCGCACCUUGCGCGAUUGAAUGAGCCGAUGUCGGAUUAGCUAGUUGGCGGGGUAAAGGCCCACCAAGGCAACGAUGCGUAGCUGGUCUGAGAGGAUGAUCAGCCACACUGGAACUGGGACACGGUCCAGACUCCUACGGGAGGCAGCAGUGGGGAAUAUUGGGCAAUGGGCGCAAGCCUGAUCCAGCCAUACCGCGUGAGUGAAGAAGGCCUUCGGGUCGUAAAGCCCUUUUGUUGGGAAAGAAAAGCAGCAGGUGAAUACACCGCUGUUCUGACGGUACCCAAAGAAAAAGCACCGGCUAACUUCGUG